GGGUACGACCAUACUUGGCCGAGUGCACCACAUCCCGUCCGAUUUGUGAAGUAAGCGGCCACAGCCUCGUUAGUAC
rfam:Trypanosoma cruzi strain CL Brener tcruzi_1047053493535, whole genome shotgun sequence.